ensembl:snRNA U1 U1 spliceosomal RNA
AUACUUACCUGGCAGGGGAGAUACCAUGAUCAUGAAGGUGGUUUUCUCAGGAUGAGGCUUAUCGAUUGCACUCCGGAUGUGCUGACCCCUGCGAUUUCCCCAAAUGUGGGAAACUCACUCAACUGCAUGAUUUAUGGUAGUGGGGGACUGUGUUCGUGCUCUCUCCUA